rnacentral:tRNA from 1 species
AAUCAAUGGCCGAGUGGAUAACGCGAUGGCAUUUGAAGCGAACAGUACUGGGUUCGAGUCCCAGAGUGAAU